UACGAAGGGGGCUAGCGUUGCUCGGAAUCACUGGGCGUAAAGGGUGCGUAGGCGGGUCUUUUAAGUCAGGGGUGAAAUCCUGGAGCUCAACUCCAGAACUGCCUUUGAUACUGAAGAUCUUGAGUUCGGGAGAGGUGAGUGGAACCGCGAGUGUAGAGGUGAAAUUCGUAGAUAUUCGCAAGAACACCAGUGGCGAAGGCGGCUCACUGGCCCGAUACUGACGCUGAGGCACGAAAGCGUGGGGGAGCAAACAGGG
rnacentral:rRNA from 1 species